CCUACGGGUGGCAGCAGUGGGGAAUAUUGCGCAAUGGGCGAAAGCCUGACGCAGCGACGCCGCGUGAGGGAUGAAGGUCUUCGGAUCGUAAACCUCUGUCAGCAGGGAAGAACGGUCACUGUGCUAAUCAGCAGUGAAUUGACGGUACCUGCAAAGGAAGCACCGGCUAACUCCGUGCCAGCAGCCGCGGUAAUACGGAGGGUGCGAGCGUUAAUCGGAAUUACUGGGCGUAAAGCGCUCGUAGGCGGUAUGUCAAGUCAAGGGUGAAAUCCCCGCGCUCAACGUGGGAACUGCAUUUGAAACUGGCAAACUGGAGUGUGGGAGAGGAUAGUGGAAUUCAAGGUGUAGGAGUGAAAUGCGUAGAUAUCUGGAGGAACAUCAGUGGCGAAGGCGACUAUCUGGCACAUAACUGACGCUGAGGAGCGAAAGCGUGGGUAGCAAACAGGAUUAGAUACCCGAGUAGUC
rnacentral:rRNA from 1 species